AGCUUGUAUCCGUAGAUGAACCUGUGGAUGAAUCAUUACCAAAGGGGUUAUAUCCGCCUGUAAUGUGACCUGUUUCGGUGAAUGUUUGCCGGCUGCCUUGCUUGCCGCCUACAUGAAAUGUAACUUAAGUCUUGUUUAUAACAUGAAUCAAUGGAUCUGGUGGCUCUU
rnacentral:misc_RNA from 1 species